CCUACGGGGGGCAGCAGUGAGGAAUAUUGGUCAAUGGACGAGAGUCUGAACCAGCCAAGUAGCGUGAAGGAUGACUGCCCUAUGGGUUGUAAACUUCUUUUAUAUGGGACUAAAACGUUCCACGUGUGGGAUUUUGUAUGUACCUUAUGAAUAAGGAUCGGCUAACUCCGUGCCAGCAGCCGCGGUAAUACGGAGGAUCCGAGCGUUAUCCGGAUUUAUUGGGUUGAAAGGGAGCGUAGAUGGAUUGUUAAGUCAGUUGUGAAAGUUUGCGGCUCAACCGUAAAAUUGCAGUUGAUACUGGCAGUCUUGAGUACAGUAGAGGUAGGCGGAAUUCGUGGUGUAGCGGUGAAAUGCUUAGAUAUCACGAAGAACUCCGAUUGCGAAGGCAGUUCACUGGACUGCAACUGACACUGAGGCUCGAAAGUGUGGGUAUCAAACAGGAUUAGAUACCCCAGUAGUC
rnacentral:rRNA from 1 species